UACGUAGGGUGCAAGCGUUAAUCGGAAUUACUGGGCGUAAAGCGUGCGCAGGCGGUUUUGUAAGUUUGUCGUGAAGGCCCCGGGCUCAACCUGGGAAUUGCGAUGAAGACUGCAAGGCUUGAAUCUGGCAGAGGGGGGUAGAAUUCCACGUGUAGCAGUGAAAUACGUAGAGAUGUGGAGGAACACCGAUGGCGAAGGCAGCCCCCUGGGUCAAGAUUGACGCUCAUGCACGAAAGCGUGGGGAGCAAACAGG
rnacentral:rRNA from 1 species